rnacentral:rRNA from 1 species
GACGGAGGGUGCUAGCGUUGUUCGGAUUUACUGGGCGUAAAGGGCGCGCAGGCGGCCUUUUCAGUCGGGUGUGAAAGCCCGGGGCUCAACCCCGGAACGGCACCCGAGACGGGAAGGCUCGAGACCGGGAGAGGAGGGUGGAAUAGCCAGUGUAGAGGUGAAAUUCGUAGAUAUUGGCUGGAACACCGGUGGCGAAAGCGGCUCUCUGGCCCGGUUCUGACGCUGAGGCGCGAAAGCGUGGGGAGCGAACAGG